UAGAGUUUGAUCCUGGCUCAGAACGAACGCUGGCGGCAGGCUUAGCACAUGCAAGUCGAGCGCCCCGCAAGGGGAGCGGCAGACGGGUGAGUAACGCGUGGGAAUCUACCUAGCUCUACGGAAUAGCUCCGGGAAACUGGAAUUAAUACCGUAUGCGUCCUUCGGGAGAAAGAUUUAUCGGAGUUAGAUGAGCCCGCGUUGGAUUAGCUAGUUGGUGGGGUAAUGGCCUACCAAGGCGACGAUCCAUAGCUGGUCUGAGAGGAUGAUCAGCCACACUGGGACUGAGACACGGCCCAGACUCCUACGGGAGGCAGCAGUGGGGAAUAUUGGACAAUGGGCGCAAGCCUGAUCCAGCCACGCCGCGUGAGUGAUGAAGGCCUUCGGGUCGUAAAGCUCUGUGGGGAGGGACGAACCGCCGCUGGUGAAUAUCCAGCGGCAUGACGGUACCUCCUUAGCAAGCACCGGCUAACUUCGUGCCAGCAGCCCCGGUCAA
rnacentral:rRNA from 1 species